rnacentral:tRNA from 1 species
GCAUCGGUGGUUUAGUGGUAAAAUUAGCCGUUGCCAAGCUUCAUAGCUCAGUUUCGGCUAGCCCCGGGUUCGAUUCCCGGCCGAUGCA